rnacentral:misc_RNA from 1 species
UUUCCGUAGGUGCACCUGCGGAAGGAUCAUUACCGAGUGAGGGCCCUCUGGGUCCAACCUCCCACCCGUGUUUAUCGUACCUUGUUGCUUCGGCGGGCCCGCCUCACGGCCGCCGGGGGGCACCCGCCCCCGGGCCCGCGCCCGCCGAAGACACCAUUGAACGCUGUCUGAAGAUUGCAGUCUGAGCAUCUUAGCUAAAUCAGUUAAAACUUUCAACAACGGAUCUCUUGGUUCCG